ensembl:lncRNA
UGACCAGAAAGCAGUGGAGAGGCUGCCCCCUGCCUCCGAGCGAAGUGGCAUCUCCCCUCAGCUGGGCCUCGGGAGCGAGGCCCCCUCGACACCCGGGGCUUCAGAGAGCAGAGUGAAGUUACCAGUUUUCAACCCUGCGUGGCCUUGUUCAGACUGAAGAGCCAGACCAGCUAAAGGCAGACCGUUCCGCACUGCUACGUGCCUGGAGCUCACCACGCUUUAAUCACAUGACUGCCAGAUAUUCGAUCCAGAAGGACCUUGGCCGCAGUCUUCACCCCUGAGCCACCUGGGAAGCCCCACACAAGGAACCCCUACCUGCAAAGACAGCCUGCUCCAGGGAAGCCCCAGGACCACACUGCCUCUCUGCCCCAGGACAGAUCUCUCUCCACCUUCGAAAGCAAGGGCCCUACAUUUUCCAGACCCAGGGGCAACACGAACAUCCCUUAGUCCAACAGAGAUGACGGGCCGUAGAUACCUGGAGACCGGGGGGCUGGGUUCUCUACCCUCGGGAACUAUGUGAUGGAGCACCAGGAUGUGCCUUUUUUUAAAAUGUUUCUAUUGGAUAAACAUAAGCUAAUUGCUAAAACCCUUUAAUACUAUUUGUGCUGGAGAGCUUGG